UUUUUAGGGGAUUCAACGAGAUUGUGUUGAUAUCUAAUAAUAUGAGUGUCCAAAGUAGAGGAAAAAUGGAGAAAAUACACCCGCAGAAUCCAAGUACAUUUUAGGUCACUAAAAGAGUUUUGUAACUCAAACGAUGACUUUAGCCCCUACAUUGAACUUUCCUCUUUCGAAUGAGCCCUCACCCAGCCCCAAGUCUUCUCAUAUAAGGACAAAUAACCGAUUCCCGUAAACCCCUUAAUAGGCCCAUUUUUGCUGGUAAUGUCAUCUCGCUGCAUUACUCGUGUCUACCCCCUUAAUUAUAGCUCAAGAUGGAACCCACACGCAAAAAAUCGAAGCUAACUGGCGACCGGCAAAAGAUUGGAUGCGUGGAGGGAGUCGCUUCCACGACGAAGACUUUGCCUAUCGCCUAUGUGAAUUUUUGUGGCGUAGGUUUUGUAAAAUUAACCAAAUACAUCUUAAGGAUUCCUUGAUCGCAGUAAUCAAGGAGCAGUACGUUUUUUAAAUAGCGUAAGCGGAAGUUACAGUCAUUUUAACGAACCAAUCAGAAAAUACGUAGAAACAAUAUGGCGUCGUACUAACCUGCCAAACAUCACUAAAUACAUCAAAAACUGCAAGAACACAUAUUUUGGACCCGUUAAUUUUUGGUCUCCUAAGACGAAGUUAGACCCAAAUUAAUAUUCCGGCCGGCUUUAGGCGGCCAGCCACGCAAGUCUAAUGUCAAGAUUAUUGAAAUUAGUAGUUAACUUUGAUUUUAAGCUGACCUGUAAUAUGGACGGUAGCCGGGCCAUGUGGCGCUGUUGACAGAAACAGUCAUAGUUUUCUGCGAAUACAUAUGUAUCUCGCAAACUAAUCAAGUCUGACAUUUAGCUUACAGGAAAAAAUUGUUUAAAAUGACGAAUUUUACAACAUAUUUAAAAAUCAUCGAAAUCGGAGGGGAAGUAGCUUUUGUACAAGUUCACCGACAUUUUUAUUACUUCUUAUUGUAAUUAGGAGUUUUUAUAACAAAUGGUAAUUUUUAUUUUACACGACGAGUAUAGACGUCAACCGUACCGAAAUAAAGUUUUGGAUUGAUGUGUAUACACGUCGAAUGCAGUUAACUGGUUAAAGAGAACUGUUUUUCUGUUUUGUUGAACCGUACAUUCUCGUAUUUUACUUGUACUCUACAAGGAGUGUUAAAUGUCAUUUAAGUAAACUUUACUGCGAGAAGCUAUUUAUACACUACACCUAAUAAUAUAAACGAGGAUUUAUCGCGUGGGUCUUUUAGUCAAAACAUAUAAACUAACUCUACUAUAUUGACAAAAAUUUAUUCUUCGAACAAAUAUACAGCAGUUUUGUGUAAUACAAAUAUUUAUGUAAAAUCUCUUAUUUGAUAGCACUGACUGUAUGCAUACCUACCAAUCUACGUAGGGUUUUUCGCAUGAAUGCAAGUACUUACUUACUCUAUGUAUAUGUAUAUGGCAGGCAUGGGCAGGAAAUAAAGCUGCGGAAAGGUUAUUCGUCAUUCUUCAGUCUCUCAAGUUCAUAUAUCCAUGGUUCAAACAUGUCUAAAGUCGGGGCUGUCAGAGUUGACACGUGAGUAGUAGAAGGAAUAAUCACCUUUAACAUACAUUUAAUAUAAAUUUUUCGCGCAUUGACCGCCUUUUGUUUACUGUAAAAACCUAAUUUUCAAUUUUUCUACACUAAUGAUAGGUGGAGAAAUACACGUGUGUCAACUAAUCAUUACUAAAUAUCAUCGAGUAGAGAAGUAGCAAAUUCGUAUAUCAAUUCUGACCAGUCCGACUACAGAAGAAUUGACUUCUGACGUUCCUUCAUUCCGCAUCCCACUCUCUCGAAUACCUAUUUGAUAGGUUGUGAUAAAAAAAGAUCAACACUAUCCGAUAUCUCGUUUGUUACAUAGUCGGACCACCCAUAGCAGUGAUAGACAGCAGCCGUGUUCACAAGUGACGUAUGUAAGUACACUCGCGGGCAUCAAUAGGUAAUAGUUUACACGCGAUGUAGUACAUAUGCGUCUGAUUGUCAGAAGCAGAAAGAGGGAUUCCACCCAUCAACUGACCCAUAGUAUGCAUUAUGAACCGUUUAACGUAGGUAAAUAACUGCCAAGAAGGGAUAGGUUUGUACAUAGUAGCAAGAAAGAAGGAAAUGUCCUGUUUGGCAAGAUGUUAAUACUCAGCAUUAUCAAAUCGAGAGAUAAAAAAGAUUUCAGGGAAAGGUAAUGGAGGGGGCAAAGGAGCCGAUCAGCAAUGACGCCUUAUAGAGAUAUACAUUUACAGGAGGCCCUCGCAUCCACAAAUCUAUCGCGUGACGAACGUCGCUAAGGACAAACAUUGAAACAGACUGAGAUGAAGCGAUAGCAAGCGACGAUUCGAACGCAUUGACAUAGACGUAGAUUCGGGGUUUACAUUAUUAAGGGGGGCAAUACAAUUAGAACUUUCAAAAAAUGAAAAUUUUUUUUUUUGCAUAAAUUGUUAGUUCAAUAUGUCGAGAAUAUCAUCCCAAAAUUUGAAAAAGAAAUUCGAAGUAUUUUUGAAGCUAUAGCCUCCGAGCGUGUCACGCCUCUUGAGCAUUGCUGAGGCCAAGCAAAACUUUAAACGCGUUUUUCUCGAAACAUGAUUUUUUAAAUUGGCGGGAACUGUAACUGAAAAAUUAUUUAACCGAUCUUUCUGAAAUUUUUAUCACAGCUUCAUAACACUAUUACCUUGUCGCUAAACCUAAUUGUUUGUGUAAAAAGUACUCUGUUAUUGCAAAAAAUAUAAAAAAAGUACACAAGAAAACCUGUAAAAAUUUACUAUUUUUUCCAAACGCAUAUAAAUCUUCCAAUUCUCAACUUUUCAAUUUGUAUUUAGGUACAAUUAGAAACUAUGGGUAUGAGUAAUAAGUUCUUUCUGUCUCCAAUGUUUGAGAAGGAUAUAACGGGCGCUACACGUCACGCCGAUUUCCACCUCCCGCGCGGACCUGUUGGACUAUCGUAUUAAUAAAACCACCAUUUUGAAAAAUUAAAGAUUAAAAGAAAUAUGAUUUUGUACCUUAAUACAGGUAUUAAUAAAUGCCAAAGUUUCAAAAAUGUACGACUAUUUCAUUCUGUUCAAAAAAUUUCCGCAAAAGCUUGCAAAUUUAUGGCUUCCAAUUGUAUUGCUCCCCUUAAGAAAACAGGAGAGUUUUUACACUUUCCAUAAUGUAAUUUCGGUGAACUUGUAGACGAGCUACUCCCCCUCCGAUUUUGAUGAUUUUUAAAUAUGUUGUAAAAUUCGAUAUUUUAAGCAACUUUUUUCCUCUAAGCUAUAUGUCGGACUCGAUUAGUUUGCGAGAUAUUCGCGAAAAACUAUGAGUACUAUCGCAUUGAAUUUCGCCUGCACGUAUACGUCAGCGGCUAUGUGUUUUUCUGGCAACAGCACCACAUGGCCCGACUACCAUUCAUCAGAUCAUGGCCCGACUGCAUUAUUACCUCACUGAUACAGGGAGAUUCUCUCGCUACUUUCCUCAAAGGAAAUGCCGCCACAAUGGACCCAAGUCCUUUUCUGUCAUCGAUAUCUCGACGGGGGUACAUACUGCAGCCGUGGUCUCCGAAUCUUCCCUUUGAACGGCAAGAAACCGACAAUUUUCGGAUCGGCUCGUUGCUUACCUCCGUAUCACAGACCAACAAGCUAACUUUCGA